GAUCUUAUAGUUUAAAUAAAAAUAAGAAAUUGCAAAUUUCUAGAAAGCUGUUGUUUAAGAUUU
rnacentral:tRNA from 1 species